rnacentral:misc_RNA from 1 species
AAACCUUCAAGCUCUGCUUGGUGUUGGGCGUCUGUCCUGCCUCACGGCGCGGACUCGCCUCAAAUCUAUUGGCGGCCGGCACGUUGGCUUCGAGCGCAGCAGAAACGCGAACUCGAGCCCGACGGAUCGGCUCCCAGAAGCUACCCCCAUGA